rnacentral:lncRNA from 1 species
GUAUUCAAUAACCACAUAAAAACAUUACAAAGGCCAUCCAAAUUAUGUUGGCAAACAAUUCCACUCAAACCCUAAACUUGCAAUGAGGUGGCUCUGUGCUGAAGGUCUCAUUGUGAUUGUGAAAUGAAGAACAGCAAUAAAAGCGCCGUUCCUUUGCUUUAAGUGCUAUUGUGCAUGUAUUGAUGUUCUGUUAUGGAUAGAUUAUUCCAUAUCCUUUGUUUUACGAGUAAUAAACCUUAUUUACAAAAUACAAAAAUACCCAGAUGAAGACAGGAAAUGUAAUUGAUAAAUACAUGCCAGUUAAUUCUGAUAGUUCAAAAAGAAAUUAAGCCCAGUGACAAUUCUGAUAGAAUUAUAAAAAUGGCCUAAAUGACGAUUCUGAUAUGAAUAUAGAAAUUAACCUCUGUGACAAUUCCGAUAGUAUGAUAAAAAUUGGCCCCAGUGACAAUUAGGAUGUCAUGUUGACACUGAUGUUGAAACACCAAUCAUUCCUUGUGUUUUCUUGCCAACAGAUUCAAGCUGAAUAUCUAACCAUGAACACGAAACAGAAAUUACCAGAAUUUUUUAUGUAGGGGAUAAUGUUAAUAUGUUAAUGUUUAUACAAAUUCCUCAGUAUGAUCGUGUCCCAACUGAUCCUCG